ensembl:lncRNA
UGCCAUUCUGGGGCCAGACUUCUCGAACUUUCCCUAAGGCCAUGAAGUCCUGAAGUCUGACCUGAUAGCCUUGCUUUGUUAACCUUCCUGAGGGUCUGUGAGCAGAAGUCUCUCCAGGAAGUCUACCUUACUGAGAAUACAAAUUGCUCAGUAUGGUUCUGACAGGCAGCCUUACCAGUUUCCCAGGAUUUUGUUUCAGGAGAUGAGCACAGAGGAAAAGGUAAUUUAUUGUGAGCUUGAGAGCCUGCUGCCUGCAUCGCUUCAGCAUUCAUGAAGCCAAAUCUCAGUGUCUCAGCGGAGCUGGCUCCUGGAGCUGCGGGGCUGUUUGUUCUGAAGGCAGCAGAAGGCCACGUUUCCUCUGAUACCAAAGAGCUUCUGUGUGGUGACCCUCAUGUGACAUUUUUGCUGUGAAAUAGUCACACUACCUCUGCCCUAAGGUGCAAGAUGCCUCGCUACAGCCUACCUUGGAGGUCACAGUCAUUUUUAACAGGCUACCUCUCCCUUCUGCCUGCCAGUCAAGUCUACCAUCCCUGCCACAGUAGGAGGGAUUGAGCAAAGAGUUUAUUAGGUCAAUCCCCACCCCAACAUCUCUGUUCCUUUAAGGAUGCCCUGCUGUGAUCUCCUGCCCAGAGGUAAACCACUGCCUCAGUGCCUCCUGAGUCCCUCAUGGAGUGGCCUUGUGAACCCAUCUGACACAACCUAAGGCCACCUGGGAAGAGAAGCCAGGAACUAGUAGAUUGAUUAUAAGACACACUUUCACAGGAAGACAGGACAGAAGUAAAGGGAAUGAAAAGUGGGCCAUAGCAGCCACAAAAAGCAGAGAUUCCUGGAAGACACCUGACAGAACAAUACUUUUUACAAUCUAGUGUGGACACACGGACACACAUCACCCAGUGCAGUACACAUCAGGGAGGCCCAAACUCUGAUCUAACAAGCUCCAAGGACCUCGCUUUGACCCCAGGAUUCCAGAUGACAUACCUGAACCAUCUGUUUUUAUAAGCUGAAGCCAAAAAUGAAGGGGCAGGAGUGUCAGUGUAAGAAAUGAGAUAGUCUAAAGCAGGGCCUGUAACUCCUGUGCACAGAACUUUUCAAGAGAAUCAUUAAAAUGGACACAGGUCAGUGUGUCCUCUUUCUUCACAGCCAGCUUUGGGUAAGGUGUCACUUGUAGACAUUGCUCAGUUUAGAGGCCUAAUAUGUGAUACAAAGAACUCAAUGCCUCCAGAGGAAUGGAUUCACCUGCAUGAACCUGAAAAAAAAAAAUCUAGGACUCUUAAAAAGGGACUCUCAGGACCAUAGAAAAUGACUCAUUGCGUAACACUCUGCAACACUGUACAGCCUUCCUAACCCAGAAUGCAAGUUACUCGUCUUGUUUCUGUGAUAAGAUACUUGACUGGAGCAGCUUAAGCGAAGAGCUACUUCAUUUGGCUCGAAACUGAAGGGGCACAGUUCACAGUGACAAGGAAGGCAAGGCUUCAGAUGCAGUUAUGGCUGUGGCUGUGGAAUUGAAGGGUGCUUGCUCACAUCUAGGCAGAUCAGGAGGUGGUACCCAGCAAUAAAUCUCAUGGCCUGCCUCCCUGACUUCUCCUC